AUACGGAGGAUCCGAGCGUUAUCCGGAUUUAUUGGGUUUAAAGGGUGCGCAGGCGGCCAUUUAAGUCAGCGGUUAAAUCGUGGGGCUCAACCCCAUUCUGCCGUUGAUACUGGGUGGCUUGAUUGCGGUCGAGGUUGGCGGAAUUCGUUGUGUAGCGGUGAAAUGCAUAGAUAUGACGAAGAACACCGAUUGCGUAGGCAGCUGACCAGACCGCAAAUGACGCUCAUGCACGAAAGUGCGGGGAUCGAACAGGAUUAGAUACCCUGGUAGUCCGCACAGUAAACGAUGAAUACUUGUUUUCGGCGAUAUAAUGUCGGAGGCAAAGCGAAAGCGAUAAGUAAUCCGCCUGGGGAGUACGUACGCAAGUAUGAAACUUAAAUGAAUUGACGGGG
rnacentral:rRNA from 1 species